rnacentral:rRNA from 1 species
UUCGGUACAUCGGUGACAGGGUGGUGCACGGCUGUCGUCAGCUCGUGUCGUGAGAUGUUGGGUUAAGUCCCGCAACGAGCGCAACCCUUGUCAUUAGUUGCUACGAAAGGCACUCUAAUGAGACUGCCGGUGACAAACCGGAGGAAGGUGGGAUGACGUCAAGUCCUCAUGGCCUUUAUGACCAGGGCUACACACGUACUACAAUGGCAGGUACAAAGGGCAGCCACUUAGCGAUAAGGCGCGAAUCCCGUAAAAACCUGUCUCAGUCCGGAUUGGAGUCUGCAACUCGACUCCAUGAAGUUGGAAUCGCUAGUAAUCGCAGAUCAGCACGCUGCGGUGAAUACGUUCCCGGGCCUU